GAUGAACGCUGGCGGCGUGCCUAAUACAUGCAAGUCGAGCGAACGGACGAGAAGCUUGCUUCUCUGAUGUUAGCGGCGGACGGGUGAGUAACACGUGGAUAACCUACCUAUAAGACUGGGAUAACUUCGGGAAACCGGAGCUAAUACCGGAUAAUAUUUUGAACCGCAUGGUUCAAAAGUGAAAGACGGUCUUGCUGUCACUUAUAGCUGGAUCCGCGCUGCAUUAGCUAGUUGGUAAGGUAACGGCUUACCAAGGCAACGAUGCAUAGCCUACCUGAGAGGGUGAUCGGCCACACUGGAACUGAGACACGGUCCAGACUCCUACGGGAGGCAGCAGUAGGGAAUCUUCCGCAAUGGGCGAAAGCCUGACGGAGCAACGCCGCGUGAGUGAUGAAGGUCUUCGGAUCGUAAAACUCUGUUAUUAGGGAAGAACAUAUGUGUAAGUAACUGUGCACAUCUUGACGGUACCUAAUCAGAAAGCCACGGCUAACUACGUG
rnacentral:rRNA from 1 species